rnacentral:ncRNA from 1 species
GACAACAGGGGAGCUUGUGAAGGCAGGCUGAGAACGAGAGAUACAGCUCGGACCCAUAACCUGAUUUGGAUAAUGCCAACGUAGGGAUAGAGAUU